rnacentral:rRNA from 1 species
GACGAACGCUGGCGGCGUGCCUAACACAUGCAAGUCGAACGAUGAAGCGCCUUCCUUUUUGGUGGGUGUGGAUGAGUGGCGAACGGGUGAGUAACACGUGAGUAACCCUCCCCCUUCUGCUGGAUAACCGCAUGAAAGUGCUGCUAACACGGGAUAUAUUGGGUCUGUCGCAUCAUGGGUCGGGGAAGGUUAUUGUUUCGGUUAGGGAUUGGCUCGCGGCCUAUCAGCUUGUUGGGGGGGUGAUGGCUUACCCAGGCGGUGACGGGUAGCCGGCCUGAGAGGGUGGACGAUCAGACUGGGGAUGAGGAACGGCCAAGACUGCUACGGGAGGCAGCAGUGAGGCAUAUUGCACGAUGGGGGGAAGAAUGAUGCAGCGACGCCGCGUGAGGGAUGGAGGCCUGCGGGUUGAGAGCCUCUUUCGCGAGUGAAGCAGGGCUGCCUUGUCUGUGGGUGGGUUGACGGUAGCUGGAUAAGAAGCGCCGGCUAACUACGUG